UACGGAGGGUGCAAGCGUUGUUCGGAAUUAUUGGGCGUAAAGCGCGUGUAGGCGGUUUGUUAAGUCUGGUGUGAAAGCCCGGGGCUCAACCCCGGAAGUGCACUGGAUACUGGCAGACUAGAGUGCGAGAGAGGAAGGUAGAAUUCCUGGUGUAGGGGUGAAAUCCGUAGAUACCAGGAGGAAUAUCGGAGGCGAAGGCGGCCUUCUGGCUCGUGUCUGACGCUGAGACGCGAAAGCGUGGGGAGCAAACAGG
rnacentral:rRNA from 1 species